UCGUUAUAAAUCGGCAAACCAUAAGGAUCGUCGUCCUCAGUCGUAUGUGUUCGUUUGUUGCUUUCGUUCGUUAAUUUUUCGAGAACAUUCAGUUAAAACCUUUAGUUUUUUGGACUCCUCUGCACUACAUUUUCUUCUACUUUAAUUCAUCGGUUUAAUAAGUUUAUAUUUUCGAUUUACCCAAAAAAAAAUCGAGUGAUUUUUGUAUUCAGUUUUUUUGGUGACACUUACCGACGUUAUAAUUGUCAUAUUUUGAUUUACCUAAAAAAACAAAAAAAAGUAAAAUUUAUUCAACAAUUUAAAACAAUUUUUAACGGGCAAUUUGCAAUAUUGUUUAUAUUUAUUAUUAAAACUAUUUCUCUCUCGCUCUUCGUAACAAUUUAAAACAAGAAAAUUGUUAAGAAUUUACAUAAAAGCCAAAUUACUUUUAAAUAAAAAAAAUUUAGUUAAAAAAACUUUGUUACCAAAAAAAUUAAGUUGUGUCAUUCUCUAGUCAAAUAUUUCGUUUUGUUAAAAUUUAAAAAAACAACAAAAAAAUUUUGUUAAAAAUUUCUUCAAUUUGGAUUUAAGUUCAUCGAUAUAUAAUUUUUGUGGGACAGCAUUAAAAUCAACAUAUUUGAUAAAAUCUAAGAUUAAAACAAAAAAUUAUAUAUAUAUUGAGUAAGCAAUCGAGCAGCUAUUAUUGUACACCAAGUGAGAAAAUAUUUCGUAUUUAAAUUUAAUAUUAAAUUAAUUCCAAAAUCAAGUUUAUUGAAAACCAAACAAAAAUUUUUCAAAAAAAAAAAGAAAAUCUUGCAAUUCAACACCACCAAAGAAAACCAACUAUUACAGAGCUAAAGUAAAAAAAAAUAACGAAUUAAAAACAACAAACAACAAAAUAAUCAUUUUUACAACAAAACCUCUUUAAAACCAAAAAAGUUCUUAAACUUUUCUAGGAGGUUAACAGCAAAAAAAAAAAAAAA